UACGAAGGGGGCUAGCGUUGUUCGGAAUUACUGGGCGUAAAGCGCGCGUAGGCGGCUUUCCAAGUCAGGGGUGAAAUCCCGGAGCUCAACUCCGGAACUGCCUUUAAAACUGGUAGGCUCGAGUCCGGAAGAGGGGCGUGGAAUUCCCAGUGUAGAGGUGAAAUUCGUAGAUAUUGGGAAGAACACCGGUGGCGAAGGCGGCGCCCUGGUCCGGUACUGACGCUGAGGCGCGAAAGCGUGGGGAGCAAACAGG
rnacentral:rRNA from 1 species